rnacentral:misc_RNA from 1 species
AACGCACCUUGCGCUCCUUGGUAUUCCGAGGAGCAUGCCUGUUUGAGUGUCAUCGAAACCUCAGACCGACCCUUCGACCCCGUCGGAGCUCGGUCUGGACUUGUGGGAGUCUGCGGGCGAAGCGUGACUUCGUCGGCUCUCCUCAAAAGCAUUAGCCGUGGGUGGCGAGCCUGGCAUGGCACGGCCUCCUCGACGUCGUAAUGAUCGUCGUGGGCUGGAAGUGUACGGCUCGACGGACCCAUGCUUCGCAAGUCUUGCGAGCCCGUCCCUCGCGGACGGCCGCGCCCCAUCGAAGCUUGACCUCAAAUCAGGUAGGACUACCCGCCGAACUUAA